UGCCUUCUCUUCGGAGUUGGCCAUCCUCACACACCGUGAACUGUGGCUUCGGCCAUCACAAACUGUUAGUAAUGAAUGUAAUAUCAUAACAAAAACAAAACUUUUAACAACGGAUCUCUUGGCUCUCGCAUCGAUGAAGAACGCAGCGAAAUGCGAUAAGUAAUGUGAAUUGCAGAAUUCAGUGAAUCAUCGAAUCUUUGAACGCACCUUGCGCCCUUUGGUAUUCCGAAGGGCAUGCCUGUUUGAGUGUCAUGAAACCUCACCCCACUUGGGUUUUUGCCUGAGCGGUGGUGUAUUGGGUGUUGCCUUGCCAAAGGCUCGCCUUAAAAGUAUAAGCACCUUGGAUGUAAUACGUUUCAUCCUUCUGGGUGGCUGAUAACCCCACAUAUUCAUGAUCUGGCCUCAAAUCAGGUAGGGCUACCCGCUGAACUUAAGCAUAUCAAA
rnacentral:rRNA from 1 species